AGAUAGCUGGUUCUCCCCGAAAUAGCUUUAGGGCUAGCCUCGAGGUUGAGAGUAUAGGCGGUAGAGCACUGAUCGGGCUAGGGGCCAUACCGGUUACCGAACCUAGUCAAACUACGAAUGGCUAUACUUAUACUCGGGAGUCAGACAGUGAAUGAUAAGGUCCAUUGUCAAGAGGGAAACAGCCCAGAACACCGACUAAGGUCCCCAAUGUCAUACUAAGUGGCGAAGGAUGUGGAAUUUCCAAAACAACCAGGAUGUUGGCUUAGAAGCAGCCACCAUUUAAAGAGUGCGUAAUAGCUCACUGGUCGAGAGACUCUGCGCCGAAAAUGUCCGGGGCUAAAGUAUGAAACCGAAGUCGUGUCAUAUGCAGCAAUGUAUAUGGGUAGGGGAGCGUUCUCAUCGGAUUGAAGCAGUACCGUAAGGAGUUGUGGACUGGUGAGAAGUGAGAAUGUCGGUAUGAGUAGCGAAAAGAAUGGUGAGAAUCCAUUCCACCGAAAGCCUAAGGGUUCCUGAGCAACGAUCGUCGUCUCAGGGUAAGUCGGGACCUAAGCCGAGGCGGAAAAGCGUAGGCGAUGGACAACAGGUUGAAAUUCCUGUACCGGUGUGAAUCGUUUGAUCGAAGGAGUGACACAGUAAGGUAGGUCAGCACGCGAUUGGAAGUGCGUGUUUAAGCAUGUAGGUUGAGUUAUAGGUAAAUCCGUAACUCUAAAAGCUGAGAUGUGAUGACGAGCUGUUUACAGCGAAGUGAUUGAUCCUACACUGUCGAGAAAAGCUUCUAGGUAGAGACACAUCGCCCGUACCAAAACCGACACAGGUAGGCGGGGAGAGAAUCCUAAGGUGCGCGGGAAAACCCUCGUUAAGGAACUCGGCAAAAUGCCUCCGUAACUUCGGGAAAAGGAGGACUCAUGUAGUGUGAAGGGCAGUAACGCGUGGAGCAUGAAUGAGUGGCACAAGAGAGGCGCAAGCGACUGUUUACCACAAACACAGGUGCCUGCUAAAGCGAAAGCUGAUGUAUAGGUGCUGACACCUGCCCGGUGCUGGAAGGUUAAGAGGAGGGGUUAGACUUCGGUCGAAGCUCUGAAUUGAAGCCCCAGUAAACGGCGGCCGUAACUAUAACGGUCCUAAGGUAGCGAAAUUCCUUGUCGGGUAAGUUCCGACCCGCACGAAAGGUGUAACGACUUGCGCACUGUCUCAACGAGGGACCCGGUGAAAUUGAAGUACCUGUGAAGAUGCAGGUUACCCGCGACUGGACAGAAAGACCCCAUGGAGCUUUACUGCAACCUAAGAUUGAACUUAGUUAAUGAAUGUACAGGAUAGGUGGGAGACUUAGAAUCUAGGGCGCCAGUCUUAGAGGAGUCGUUGUUGGGAUACCACCCUUUGAUUAAUUGAUUUCUAACAGGCCGAUUAACAACCGGCUGGACAGUCUUAGGCGGGCAGUUUGACUGGGGCGGUCGCCUCCUAAAGAGUAACGGAGGCGCCCAAAGGUUCCCUCAGAGCGGACGGAAAUCGCUCGAAGAGUGUAAAGGCAGAAGGGAGCUUGACUGCGAGACGGACAGGUCGAGCAGGGACGAAAGUCGGGCUUAGUGAUCCGGUGGUGCCGAGUGGAAGGGCCAUCGCUCAACGGAUAAAAGCUACCCUGGGGAUAACAGGCUAAUCUCUCCCAAGAGUCCAUAUCGACGGGGAGGUUUGGCACCUCGAUGUCGGCUCAUCACAUCCUGGGGCUGAAGUAGGUCCCAAGGGUAUGGCUGUUCGCCAUUUAAAGUGGUACGCGAGCUGGGUUUAGAACGUCGUGAGACAGUUCGGUCCCUAUCUGCCGUGGGCGUUGGAGAAUUGAUUGGGGCUGCUCCUAGUACGAGAGGACCGGAGUGGACGCACCACUGGUGUUCCGGUUGUGUCGCCAGACGCAUUGCCGGGUAGCUAAGUGCGGAAGAGAUAAGUGCUGAAAGCAUCUAAGCACGAAACUUGCCAAGAGAUGAGUUCUCCCAGAUUUAAAAUCUGUAAGGGUUGUUUAAGACUAAGACGUAGAUAGGUCUGGUGUGUAAGCGGUGCGAGCCGUUGAGCUAACAGAUACUAAUUGCCCGAGAGGCUUAACUAU
rnacentral:rRNA from 1 species